rnacentral:tRNA from 1 species
GAAAAGUUAGUUUACAUAAAAUAAAGAAUUGCAAGUUCUUCGAAAAUAGGGUUUGGUUACUUUUUA